CACGUAGGCACCAAGCGUUGUCCGGAUUUAUUGGGCGUAAAGAGCUCGUAGGCGGUUCGGUAUGUCGGGUGUGAAAACUCUGGGCUCAACCCAGAGCCGCCACCCGAUACUGCUGUGACUCGAGUGCGGUAGGGGAGCGGGGAAUUCCUGGUGUAGCGGUGAGAUGCGCAGAUAUCAGGAGGAACACCAGUGGCGAAGGCGCCGCUCUGGGCCGUGACUGACGCUGAGGAGCGAAAGCGUGGGUAGCAAACAGG
rnacentral:rRNA from 1 species